UACGAAGGGUGCAAGCGUUAAUCGGAAUUACUGGGCGUAAAGCGCGCGUAGGUGGUUCAGUAAGUUGGAAGUGAAAUCCCCGGGCUCAACCUGGGAACUGCUUUCAAAACUGCUGAGCUAGAGUACGGUAGAGGGUGGUGGAAUUUCCUGUGUAGCGGUGAAAUGCAUAGAUAUAGGAAGGAACACCAGUGGCGAAGGCGACCACCUGGACUGAUACUGACACUGAGGUGCGAAAGCGUGGGGAGCAAACAGG
rnacentral:rRNA from 1 species